rnacentral:rRNA from 1 species
AGUUCCCUGGAACGGGACGCCAGAGAGGGUGAGAGCCCCGUACGGUCGGACGCCUAGCCUCUGUGAAGCUCCUUCGACGAGUCGAGUAGUUUGGGAAUGCUGCUCAAAAUGGGAGGUAUAUGUCUUCUAAAGCUAAAUAUUGGCCAGAGACCGAUAGCGCACAAGUAGAGUGAUCGAAAGAUGAAAAGCACCUUGAAAAGAGGGUUAAAUAGUACGUGAAAUUGUUGAAAGGGAAGCGCUUGUUACCAG